UACGUAGGGUGCAAGCGUUGCCCGGAAUUAUUGGGCGUAAAGAGCUCGUAGGCGGCUUGUCGCGUCGGCUGUGAAAACCUGGGGCUCAACCCCGGGCCUGCAGCCGAUACGGGCAAGCUAGAAUUCGGUAGGGGAGACUGGAAUUCCUGGUGUAGCGGUGAAAUGCGCAGAUAUCAGGAGGAACACCGGUGGCGAAGGCGGGUCUCUGGGCCGAAAUUGACGCUGAGGAGCGAAAGCGUGGGGAGCGAACAGG
rnacentral:rRNA from 1 species